rnacentral:tRNA from 1 species
GGGGACGUAGCUCAGCUGGUAGAGCGCCUGCUUUGCAAGCAGGAUGUCAGGGGUUCGAGUCCCCUCGUCUCCACCA